UACGGGGGGGGCAAGCGUUGUUCGGAAUUACUGGGCGUAAAGGGCUCGUAGGUGGCCAACUAAGUCAGACGUGAAAUCCCUCAGCUCAACUGGGGAACUGCAUCCGAUACUGGAUGGCUUGAAUCCGGGAGAGGGAUGCGGAAUUCCAGGUGUAGCGGUGAAAUGCGUAGAUAUCUGGAGGAACACCGGUGGCGAAGGCGGCAUCCUGGACCGGCAUUGACGCUGAUGAGCGAAAGCCAGGGGAGCAAACGGG
rnacentral:rRNA from 1 species